GAUGAACGCUGGCGGCGUGCCUAAUACAUGCAAGUCGAGCGAACAGACGAGGAGCUUGCUCCUCUGACGUUAGCGGCGGACGGGUGAGUAACACGUGGUUAACCUACCUAUAAGACUGGGAUAACUUCGGGAAACCGGAGCUAAUACCGGAUAAUAUAUUGAACCGCAUGGUUCAAUAGUGAAAGACGGUUUUGCUGUCACUUAUAGAUGGAUCCGCGCCGCAUUAGCUAGUUGGUAAGGUAACGGCUUACCAAGGCAACGAUGCGUAGCCGACCUGAGAGGGUGAUCGGCCACACUGGAACUGAGACACGGUCCAGACUCCUACGGGAGGCAGCAGUAGGGAAUCUUCCGCAAUGGGCGAAAGCCUGACGGAGCAACGCCGCGUGAGUGAUGAAGGUCUUCGGAUCGUAAAACUCUGUUAUUAGGGAAGAACAAAUGUGUAAGUAACUAUGCACGUCUUGACGGUACCUAAUCAGAAAGCCACGGCUAACUACGUG
rnacentral:rRNA from 1 species